rnacentral:lncRNA from 1 species
CGGCGCCCCCACCCCGGCCGGCCCGCGCCCCGCGCCCUCUCCCGGCCCCCUCUCGGGUCUCCGGGCCGGCCCCGCCCUGACCGGCCGCGCGCGCUGUCGCCCGCAGAUUUCUUCGCCAAGCGCAAGAGAUCAGCGCCUGAGAAGUCGUCGGGCGAUGUCCCCGCGCCGUGUCCCUCUCCAAGCGCCGCCCCUGGCGUGGGCUCGGUGGAGCAGACCCCGCGCAAGAGGCUGCGGUGAGCCAAAGCCCAAAGAGCCCCGAGGGAACCUGCCGGGGCAGCGGACGUUGGAAGGGCGCUGGGCCUCGGCUGGGACCGUUCAUGUAGCAGCAACCGGCGGCGGCUGCCGCAGAGCAGCGUUCGGUUUUGUUUUUAAAUUUUGAAAACUGUGCAAUGUAUUAAUAACGUCUUUUUAUAUCUAAAUGUAUUCUGCACGAGAAGGUACACUGGUCCCAAGGUGUAAAGCUUUAAGAGUCAUUUAUAUAAAAUGUUUAAUCUCUGCUGAAACUCAGUGCA